CAACUUUCAGCAACGGAUCUCUAGGNCCUCGCAUCGAUGAAGAACGUAGCAAAGUGCGAAAAGUAAUGUGCAUUGCAACCGUGAAUCAUUGAAUCUUUGAACGCAUCUU
rnacentral:rRNA from 1 species